rnacentral:rRNA from 1 species
CUUGCUUUCUGGAUCAGUGGCGAACGGGUGAGUAACACGUGAGCAAUCUGCCCUUGACUCUGGGAUAAGCGCUGGAAACGGCGUCUAAUACCGGAUACGAGCUGCGAAGGCAUCUUCAGCAGUUGGAAAGAAUUUCGGUCAAGGAUGAGCUCGCGGCCUAUCAGCUUGUUGGUGAGGUAAUGGCUCACCAAGGCGUCGACGGGUAGCCGGCCUGAGAGGGUGACCGGCCACACUGGGACUGAGACACGGCCCAGACUCCUACGGGAGGCAGCAGUGGGGAAUAUUGCACAAUGGGCGCAAGCCUGAUGCAGCAACGCCGCGUGAGGGACGACGGCCUUCGGGUUGUAAACCUCUUUUAGCAGGGAAGAAGCGAAAGUGACGGUACCUGCAGAAAAAGCACCGGCUAACUACGUGCCAGCAGCCGCGGUAAUACGUAGGGUGCAAGCGUUAUCCGGAAUUAUUGGGCGUAAAGAGCUCGUAGGCGGUUUGUCACGUCUGCUGUGAAAACUGGAGGCUCAACCUCCAGCCUGCAGUGGGUACGGGCAGACUAGAGUGCGGUAGGGGAGAUUGGAAUUCCUGGUGUAGCGGUGGAAUGCGCAGAUAUC